rnacentral:rRNA from 1 species
CAGGCUUAACACAUGCAAGUCGAGGGGCAUCAGGAAGAAAGCUUGCUUUCUUUGCUGGCGACCGGCGCACGGGUGAGUAACACGUAUCCAACCUGCCCUUUACUCGGGGAUAGCCUUUCGAAAGAAAGAUUAAUACCCGAUAGCAUAAUGAUUCCGCAUGGUUUCAUUAUUAAAGGAUUCCGGUAAAGGAUGGGGAUGCGUUCCAUUAGGUUGUUGGUGAGGUAACGGCCCACCAAGCCUUCGAUGGAUAGGGGUUCUGAGAGGAAGGUCCCCCACAUUGGAACUGAGGCACGGUCCAAACUCCUACGGGAGGCAGCAGUGAGGAAUAUUGGUCAAUGGGCGCUAGCCUGAACCAGCCAAGUAGCGUGAAGGAUGAAGGCUCUAUGGGUCGUAAACUUCUUUUAUAUAAGAAUAAAGUGCAGUAUGUAUACUGUUUUGUAUGUAUUAUAUGAAUAAGGAUCGGCUAACUCCGUGCCAGCAGCCGCGGUAAUACGGAGGAUCCGAGCGUUAUCCGGAUUUAUUGGGUUUAAAGGGAGCGUAGGUGGACUGGUAAGUCAGUUGUGAAAGUUUGCGGCUCAACCGUAAAAUUGCAGUUGAUACUGUCAGUCUUGAGUACAGUAGAGGUGGGCGGAAUUCGUGGUGUAGCGGUGAAAUGCUUAGAUAUCACGAAGAACUCCGAUUGCGAAGGCAGCUCACUGGACUGCAACUGACACUGAUGCUCGAAAGUGUGGGUAUCAAACAGGAUUAGAUACCCUGGUAGUCCACACAGUAAACGAUGAAUACUCGCUGUUUGCGAUAUACAGUAAGCGGCCAAGCGAAAGCAUUAAGUAUUCCACCUGGGGAGUACGCCGGCAACGGUGAAACUCAAAGGAAUUGACGGGGGCCCGCACAAGCGGAGGAACAUGUGGUUUAAUUCGAUGAUACGCGAGGAACCUUACCCGGGCUUAAAUUGCAGUGGAAUGAUGUGGAAACAUGUCAGUGAGCAAUCACCGCUGUGAAGGUGCUGCAUGGUUGUCGUCAGCUCGUGCCGUGAGGUGUCGGCUUAAGUGCCAUAACGAGCGCAACCCUUAUCUUUAGUUACUAACAGGUUAUGCUGAGGACUCUAGAGAGACUGCCGUCGUAAGAUGUGAGGAAGGUGGGGAUGACGUCAAAUCAGCACGGCCCUUACGUCCGGGGCUACACACGUGUUACAAUGGGGGGUACAGAAGGCAGCUAGCGGGUGACCGUAUGCUAAUCCCAAAAUCCUCUCUCAGUUCGGAUCGAAGUCUGCAACCCGACUUCGUGAAGCUGGAUUCGCUAGUAAUCGCGCAUCAGCCACGGCGCGGUGAAUACGUUCCCGGGCCUUGUACACACCGCCCGUCAAGCCAUGGGAGCCGGGGGUACCUGAAGUACGUAACCGCAAGGAUCGUCCUAGGGUAAAACUGGUGACUGGGGCUAAGUC